rnacentral:lncRNA from 8 species
UUACAUUUAAACAAGGGCAUAUUACUUUAAUAGAAAAGUUCAAAUCCUUAUUUGUCACACCCUGAUCUGUUUCACCUGUCUUUGUGCUUCUCUCCACCCCCCUCCAGGUGUCACCCAUUUUCCCCAUUAUCCCCUGUGUAUUUAUACCUGUGUUCUCUGUUUGUCUGUUUGCCAGUUCGUUUUGUUUCGUGAAACCUACAAGCGUUUGUUCCCCUGCUCCUGUCUGUUCUUGUUCCUGUUUUCUAGUUUUCCCCAAUUUUGACCAUUCUGCCUACCCUGACCCUGAGCCAGCCUGCCGUUCUGUACCUUGCCACACCACACUGGAUUAUUGACCCCUGCCUGCUCUAACCCUGAGACUGCCUGUCGUUCAGGAUCUUUUGCACCCUAUCUGGAUUACUGACCUCUGCCUGCCCUUGACCUGUUCUAGUCGUACUGAAGCCCUCUGAGUCAGUAACAAUGACACAACAUCAUUGUCCAUGUGUUGUUGGCACUGCAUUAUGCAACCACACAGAUGCAUUACUAUUCCAGUCUGCACACUAUUCCCAGAUGGGAACACCAGUCGUCCCACCUGUGCAGAGCUGCACAGAGGCUGAGCAGCAGUGGUAUAAGCCAAGGACUAUGGGUCUGAAACCUGGGCCCAUACGCAAAAUGACCAUCCCCAAGCCCACCAAAAAGCGCAUGUCAGAAGGAGGGAUUAGAAGUACACUCUACAGCGCCCUUCUUGGACCACUCCCAGACCUCUCAGUUCUCCAGAUAGAAGAGGCAUACAAGAACUUUGACCCUGCAUCCAAGCCAUUGAUCUGCAGGAUGGGGAUGUCUGUUGAAAAGCUUUUAGUCGACUCCCACUUUGGAAAGGUACAGGUGGGGAGCCUCCUGUCUUAUCAGCAGAUUUUGUUGUGUGUGCGCAUAAGGACAUUCUGAUCGAGAGAAUACAUAGAGACCCAGUGGUGUUCUCACUAAUUAGAGAGAAGGGUGACUGGUACUAACUAUAUGUGUACAUGCAAAAGUUCUUAGGCAGGAAAGACCAAAACACUACUGACACUCCUUUAUCUUUCAAUGAAUAAAAGAGAAACAAACCAACA